AAUUAUUUAACUAUACCCAAGUGUAUGUUUUGAAAACAUAAAAAAAGGUUUUUACCUUAAUAAUUU
rnacentral:tRNA from 1 species